rnacentral:tRNA from 2 species
GGGGAUAUAGUUCAAUGGCAGAAUUCUGGUCUCCAAAACCAGCGAUCAAGGUUCGAAUCCUUGUGUCCCCGCCU